CCUAAACCUAAAACCCAAAUGUAUUCUCAAAUCCCUAAACCUAAACCUACACCUAAUCCUAAUCUCAACUCCCUAAAGAUUUCAACAUUUUCGACCGUUGGAUUGAGUAUGCUUUCGAUUGUAUUGCAGGGUAUGGGCCCCACCAGAAUCGAAUAAUCAGAUCAUCUCGCAGCAGAGGAAAGAGCAGAAGCUACUGGUGGUCUCUGAGGCACGUGAGACGAAGAGGACUCUUGGGAAAGAUAAAGAUAUUAUGGGGGAGGUUUUCAAGACCCAUGAAGCAAUUUAAUCUUUGGACAAGACAAUUUCCACACUUCAGAUGGAGCUGGCUGCUGCUCGGAGUUCUCAGGAGAUGGUAGGCCUUGGCAAUUCUUCUGUAGCCUCGGACUCUUGUGAGGCCACGAGGAAGAAGGCAUUCAUUGUGAUUGGAAUUAAUACCGCCUUUAGCAGCAGGAAAAGGCGGGAUUCAGUCAGAGAGACUUGGAUGCCUCAAGGUUAAUUUCCCAUCCUUUUCAGUAGAAUAUGUAGUGAAGUAAGUUACUUUAUGAUUGAUAUGUCUGUAUGAUCAUUUAAAACUGACAAUUCGAUGAGCGUUGGCUGCAAGUAGUCCCCCAGUAUCCAUUCCGUUCUUUAAGCUGCGUUUGGACUCACCAUUGAAUUGGACUCUGUUAUAAUUUGUUCAGUAGAGCGGAAAUGACAAAUUGUGAUUACCUUCCUUAGCAAUUUUAGUGAAGACAUCAUAUUGUAGUCGUA